CCAAGUCGUGAUCACAAAUGAGAAGAAGACUCGAGGGGAUUGAUGAGCUGAGGCCAGGCUGGACCACUAGAAUGCAGCAAGAGCAGCUGAGCCCAGUGCUCUGGUCUCUAUUAUGUACUGCCUCACAUUUCUUUCUGUUGAUUGUUGUCUGUGUGGAAAGUCAGAGUUGGGAGCAGGGGCUAUGAAGUCAGUGAGCCCCAAGUCACAUUUCCCCCUUUGUAAGAGAGUUGUGCACCCAGGGCACAGUCAAGACAGAAACUGAGGGUAGAAACAGAAGGGGUGUGGCAGCUAAGAUCGUCUUGUUCUCUCAGGAAAGCCUUUGGGAGACUUCUGAUCCCAUUUCAUAGGCAGAAUAAGGGUUCACCUGUCAUCACCUAGCCUCAAGAAAGGAACCAUUAAGCUGUAGCCUCUGUAGUUGGAAGUAGGAGUGAGAAGGGGGAGGGACCUGGCUCUCUGGGUCAAUUAGCAUAGUCUGCCUCAGGUAGAUCCUGAAUCCCAGGAAGCUGUAGAUGUGGUGCAGGCCAUGGCUAGCCUCAUGCCUCUGGUCACCCUAUCCAGACAAGUUGAGUGGCAGUAGUGGAGAUGGUCUGACAUCUCAGCCUGGUGGGAUUCACUGCCGACUCCCCAGGCCCACCACUGGAGUAAUGGCUGUCUUUCUUUGAGAGCACAUAGGUGGAGCGUAAGGGAGAGGGAGAUGGAUGAGGUCAUACUAUUGCAAUCACUUGGGAAAAAAUACACAAACUUCCAAAACUGCAAGAUGCUUUCUACUGCCACCAGACCUCCUUUGGAGGUUUUCCUACCGCUUAAUAACCAGGAACUUGUUGGCGUCUGACAGAGCAUCUCAGAUUUCUUACAUAAAAUGUGGAAUUGUCAAUAGUCAGAUGCAUCAGUGGCCAAGGCUAUGGUGUGCAGUUUCUAUCAGCGUGUACAGGACAUCCUGCCUGGUUUUGGCCUCAAGGAAGCAAUGGUGAGAUUUCGUAGCUCAUCGUCUCCUGGUUGGAGCAAAGGGUGCCAAACAGAGGUCAAGCUCGGGCCACAGGGAAACUGGGAAAAUACGUUCAUUGCCAUGUGCGAGGAGUCCAGUGGAUUUCAGAAAUCUUCUGUGUCUUCUUAUAGGAUACAGUGACAGCCCCUUACUGGAAGAACAUUUUAGAGCUGCCAUUGAUGGACACAGAGAGUGUUAAAACCCAGAGCACAUAAACCAGGAUGAGAAAAUUAAUCAGAAGAUAAAAGACAGCGGCUUUGGGAUCCCUGGCCGAGCCCUCCUGCAUGCUCCUGGGACAUCCUUUCAGACCAGCAGCACCAUCCCGUGCAGGGGCUGUGACAGAUGACUUAUAAUGUAGACAUCACCUCUGCUGGUGGACAGCCUUCGGAUCUGCUGAGUCCUUUUAUAAUAAAUAAAACCAAACACG
ensembl:processed_transcript 1700108F19Rik RIKEN cDNA 1700108F19 gene